AACGAACGCUGGCGGCAGGCCUAACACAUGCAAGUCGAGCGCUGUAGCAAUACAGAGCGGCAGACGGGUGAGUAACGCGUGGGAAUCUUCCCAAUGGUACGGAAUAGCUCAGGGGAAACUUGGGGUAAUACCGUAUAAGCCCGAAAGGGGAAGAUUUAUCGCCAUUGGAUGAGCCCGCGUCUGAUUAGCUAGUUGGUGAGGUAAUGGCUCACCAAGGCGACGAUCAGAGCUGGUCUGAGAGGAUGACCAGCCACACUGGGACUGAGACACGGCCCAGACUCCUACGGGAGGCAGCAGUGGGGAAUAUUGGACAAUGGGCGAAAGCCUGAUCCAGCCAUGCCGCGUGAGUGACGAAGGUCUUCGGAUUGUAAAGCGUCUUUUGGCGGGGACGAUAAUGACGGUAACCCGCAGAAUAAGCCCCGGCUAACUUCGUGCC
rnacentral:rRNA from 1 species